CCUACAAACUCGUCAUAUCAUUUAUCUAUAAAUGAUCUAUUACAGUUAAACCCCCAUUGCUGCCGAUGGGGCCGGGUUUACUGCCAGAGGGAACUGUCUUUCGUGAGCCAGUUGGACAGAUUUACCCACAGGAGACUAUAAAUCCACCCCCAGAU